UACGGGGGAGGCAAGCGUUAUCCGGGAUCAUUGGGCGUAAAGCGUCCGUAGGUGGUUAACCAAGUCUUUUGUCAAAGCGCGGGGCUUAACUUCGUAACGGCAGGGGAAACUGGUGAACUAGAGUGCGGUAGGGGUAGAGGGAAUUCCCAGUGUAGCGGUGAAAUGCGUAGAUAUUGGGAAGAACACCGGUGGCGAAAGCGCUCCACUGGGCCUGCACUGACACUGAGGGACGAAAGCUAGGGGAGCGAAAGGG
rnacentral:rRNA from 1 species